UAACGCGUAAGGAACUUGCCUCUUGGUCUGGGACAACUGUUGGAAACGACAGCUAAUACCGGAUAUUAUGAGAUUCUCGCAUGGGAAACUUAUGAAAGCUAUAUGCGCCAAGAGAGAGCCUUGCGUUCCAUUAGCUAGUUGGUGGGGUAACGGCCCACCAAGGCGACGAUGGAUAGCCGGCCUGAGAAGGUGAACGGCCACAAGGGGACUGAGACACGGCCCUUACUCCUACGGGAGGCAGCAGUGGGGAAUAUUGGACAAUGGGCCACAAGCCUGAUCCAGCAAUUCUGUGUGCACGAUGAAGGUCUUCGGAUUGUAAAGUGCUUUCAGUUGGGAAGAAGAAAGUGACGGUACCAACAGAAGAAGCGACGGCUAAAUACGUGCCAGCAGCCGCGGUAAUACGUAUGUCGCAAGCGUUAUCCGGAUUUAUUGGGCGUAAAGCGCGUCUAGGCGGAAAAAUAAGUCUGAUGUUAAAAUGCGGGGCUCAACUCCGUAUUGCGUUGGAAACUGUUUUUCUAGAGUACUGGAGAGGUGGGCGGAACUACAAGUGUAGAGGUGA
rnacentral:rRNA from 1 species